rnacentral:misc_RNA from 1 species
AACCAUAGAAACCUGCGGAGUACCUGCGGAGGGAUCAUUACAAGUGACCCCGGUUUACCACCGGGAUGUUCAUAACCCUUUGUUGUCCGACUCUGUUGCCUCCGGGGCGACCCUGCCUUCGGGCGGGGGCUCCGGGUGGACACUUCAAACUCUUGCGUAACUUUGCAGUCUGAGUAAACUUAAUUAAUAAAUUAAAACUUUUAGCAACGGAUCU